rnacentral:rRNA from 1 species
CAAGUCGAACGGCAGCACGGGAGCAAUCCUGGUGGCGAGUGGCGAACGGGUGAGUAAUAUAUCGGAACGUGCCCAGUAAUGGGGGAUAGCCCGGCGAAAGCCGGAUUAAUACCGCAUACGACCUACGGGUGAAAGCGGGGGAUCGCAAGACCUCGCGUUAUUGGAGCGGCCGAUAUCAGAUUAGCUUGUUGGCGGGGUAAAAGCCCACCAAGGCGACGAUCUGUAGCUGGUCUGAGAGGACGACCAGCCACACUGGGACUGAGACACGGCCCAGACUCCUACGAGAGGCAGCAGUGGGGAAUUUUGGACAAUGGGCGCAAGCCUGAUCCAGCCAUGCCGCGUGCGGGAAGAAGGCCUUCGGGUUGUAAACCGCUUUUGUCAGGGAAGAAACGGCUCUUAUUAAUACUAGGAGCUAAUGACGGUACCUGAAGAAUAAGCACCGGCUAACUACGUGCCAGCAGCCGCGGUAAUACGUAGGGUGCAAGCGUUAAUCGGAAUUACUGGGCGUAAAGCGUGCGCAGGCGGCUUUGCAAGACAGAUGUGAAAUCCCCGGGCUCAACCUGGGAACUGCAUUUGUGACUGCAUGGCUAGAGUACGGUAGAGGGGGAUGGAAUUCCGCGUGUAGCAGUGAAAUGCGUAGAUAUGCGGAGGAACACCGAUGGCGAAGGCAAUCCCCUGGACCUGUACUGACGCUCAUGCACGAAAGCGUGGGGAGCAAACAGGAUUAGAUACCCUGGUAGUCCACGCCCUAAACGAUGUCAACUGGUUGUUGGACGGCUUGCUGUUCAGUAACGAAGCUAACGCGUGAAGUUGACC